GGGGGUGUAAGGGAUUCGACAUAUAUAAAUGAUUUUAGAGCUCAGUGGUGUGAUAGACCAUAAUUAUUACUAGGCUUUCUUUAAACGGAAAAUCAAAUAAAAAAGAAUUAGCAACAUUUAAUAUGUUAGCUAAUUCAAACUCAGCAAAUCUAGCAUUCGCUUAAUAUGAAGCUAGUCGAGAAUAUUAAUCGUCUUAGUUAAUAUUUUUGUUGUUAUAAGGCUAUUUUAGAUUGAUCUAACUUAUAUCUAAAGAAAUUUUGUUAGGUAAAUAGAAAAAAUUUUGUUAAUUUUAUAUUUAUAUUUACUAAUUUAAAAUUAAAUAAACUGUAAAAUGCUAAAUGAGUUUAUGUGUGGACCCGGGUUCAACUCCCGGCAUCUCCACCA
rnacentral:tmRNA from 1 species